CAUGAUUUGACUUGAUCAGAGGCCGUGAUAUUUUUGGUGCUUUCAGGAAUGCAUAAAUUAUUGAAAGAAAACAAAACAUAUAAGGAAAUGCUGGCCACUAAAACUCAGAAAGUGCUAAAAAACCUACGUUUGAAGACCUGCAAGAAGAUGGAUAUUUCAUAAAAUGCACAGCAUGAGAAGAAGCAUUCUUAAAAAAAACCCCCAAACAAACCAACAGCAGCUGGCUACCACCUGAAGUGACAUUUCUUCUCAUUGUCUGCC